AGAGCUCAAAUUUAAAAUCUGGCGUGCCUCUGGUCGUCCGAGUUGUAGUCUGGAGAAGCGUUUUCCGUGUUGGACCGUGUACAAGUCUCUUGGAACAGGGCGUCAUAGAGGGUGAGAAUCCCGUCUUUGACACGGACUACCAAUGCUUUGUGAUGCGCUCUCAAAGAGUCGAGUUGUUUGGGAAUGCAGCUCAAAAUGGGUGGUAAAUUCCAUCUAAAGCUAAAUACAGGCGAGAGACCGAUAGCGAA
rnacentral:rRNA from 1 species